rnacentral:lncRNA from 1 species
AGUGAUGAUUGAUGCAAGAAUUAAACAUGGAUGGAGUGCACAGCAAAGGUUUGUUAUGGUACAAGGAACCCUUAAUUUGUGUCCUAAAAUGCAUAGGAAACCUUCAAUGUUGCUGGAACUUAAGGACAUUUAGGAUUUAGGAAAGAUCAAACCAAAAUAGGAAACCUUGGCUUAACUUUCCUACUUCAAGUAGGAAUCCUCAUCUUUAGGUCUUCAAUUUCAUCCAUUCCUUUAGUUCCAAGCAUGUGAUAUUUAUUCCAAGCCCAAAAUUGCUCCAAAAUGCACAUUUUUGGGUACUUUGUCCUUAGAACCUGAAAUUGCACAAAAAUGACUUUAAACACUAAAACUACUAAGGAAUAACAACAUAAAUGCAUGAGAACAAGCUAACUCAGUCGCAUAAAUAUGCUCCUAUCAAUCUUCAAAGAAAUGUAUCAACUUUGCAAAAAGUAGAAAUUGCAUAACAACUAAAUAGUCAUUGGCUUGCGAAGUGGUGCCCGUCAAGCUGCUUGAGUCUACGGGCUUUGAUCUAGUGGGAGGUCAUGCAUAGUACUUCCUCAAAUUGUAAGCAUUCCACUACUUUUCAAUUUGUUUGUCAUUCAUGGUAGAGAUGGUGUAGCUACCAUUGCCGCUUACUCUGCUGAUCUUGUACAGACCUUUCUAGAUAGGAUCCAUCUUUUUGGAGCCUUCUCUGCAGGUAAUGAUGAAGAUUUUUCUUAAGACUAAAUCUUCGAGUUGGAAAUGCCGGAUCUUGGCAUUUUUAUUGUAGUUGGAGCUGCUGCUGGUAGGCUGCGAUGCAGGUGAUGACCUACU